UUCGGGGAACGAUAACGGCGUCGAGCGGCGGACGGGUGAGUAAUGCCUAGGAAAUUGCCCUGAUGUGGGGGAUAACCAUUGGAAACGAUGGCUAAUACCGCAUGAUGCCUACGGGCCAAAGAGGGGGACCUUCGGGCCUCUCGCGUCAGGAUAUGCCUAGGUGGGAUUAGCUAGUUGGUGAGGUAAGGGCUCACCAAGGCGACGAUCCCUAGCUGGUCUGAGAGGAUGAUCAGCCACACUGGAACUGAGACACGGUCCAGACUCCUACGGGAGGCAGCAGUGGGGAAUAUUGCACAAUGGGCGCAAGCCUGAUGCAGCCAUGCCGCGUGUAUGAAGAAGGCCUUCGGGUUGUAAAGUACUUUCAGUCGUGAGGAAGGCGGCGUCGUUAAUAGCGGCGUUGUUUGACGUUAGCGACAGAAGAAGCACCGGCUAACUCCGUGCCAGCAGCCGCGGUAAUACGGAGGGUGCGAGCGUUAAUCGGAAUUACUGGGCGUAAAGCGCAUGCAGGUGGUUUGUUAAGUCAGAUGUGAAAGCCCGGGGCUCAACCUCGGAAUAGCAUUUGAAACUGGCAGACUAGAGUACUGUAGAGGGGGGUAGA
rnacentral:rRNA from 1 species